UUGAAAGGGAAACGAUUGAAGUCAGUCGUACCGACGAGAAAUCAGCUUAUCGUGUGCUAACUUGUGGGCGUGCGUGAGUUUCGGCCUCGCUGUUUGCAUGUUUGUGCGCUUUGGGUGUACUUUUUCGUAUGGUUGGCCAACAUCAGUUUCGAUCACUAUAAAAUGACUGGCGGAAUGUAGCUUCGAUUUCGGUUGAAGUGUUAUAGCCUCUGGUAGAUGUGGUAAUUGGGACUGAGGAUUGCAACGAAUAUCCUUUGGGCUAUCCGUCUGGCCUCUGAAAGUUGCUUGGGUGCUGAAAGCUUGCUUAUGGUUAUCUAAGUUAACGGUCAAUAGGUUAGAACGUGAUUACAUUCGUUAAGGAUGUUGACGUA
rnacentral:rRNA from 1 species